rnacentral:rRNA from 1 species
AGAGCGUAAGGGGAAUGCCUUGGCACCAGGAGCCGACGAAGGACGCAGCGAUCUGCGAAAAGCCACGGGGAGCCGAAAGCAGGCUUUGAUCCGUGGAUAUCCGAAUGGGGAAACCCGCAUGGUUAAUAGCCAUGCGACGUAUACUGAAUAAAUAGGUAUGCGUCGGGAACCGUCUGAACUGAAACAUCUAAGUAGGACGAGGAAAAGAAAUCAACCGAGAUUCCGUAAGUAGUGGCGAGCGAACACGGAAGAGGCCAAACCGAAGGUAGCAAUAUCUUCGGGGUACGGACAGUAAACGGCAUUGCGGUAUCUUAGCAGAAGUGCAUGGGACGGCACACCAUAGAGAGUGAUAGUCUCGUAAGCGAAAAGAGAAGGCAGCCAACUGUAUCCAGAGUACCGCCGGACACGUGAAACCCGGUGGGAACAUGGGGGGACCAUCCUCCAAGCCUAAAUACUCCCUGGUGACCGAUAGAGAACAGUACUGUGAAGGAAAGGUGAAAAGAACCCCGGGAGGGGAGUGAAAAGAACCUGAAACCUUAUGCUUACAAGCACCGAGAGCCCAUCAAAGGGUGAUCGGGUACCUUUUGUAGAAUGGUCCGGCGAGUGAAUGUAACUGGCAAGGUUAAGCACUUCAGGUGUGGAGCCGAAGCGAAAGCAAGUCUUAAUAGGGCGUCAAGUCAGUUGUAUUCGACCCGAAACCGUGUGACCUAGCCAUGAGCAGGCUGAAGUGGAGGUAAAACUCCAUGGAGGGCCGAACCCACUCCCGUUGAAAUGGUAGGGGAUGACUUGUGGCUAGCGGAGAAAUUCCAAUCGAACUCGGAGAUAGCUGGUUCUCUCCGAAAUAGCUUUAGGGCUAGCCUCGACUUAGAUUACCGGAGGUAAAGCACUGAAUGGGCUAGGGGCCGAGAGGUUACUGAACCCUAUCAAACUAAGAAUGCCGGAUAAUGAUAAUCGGGAGUCAGACAGUGUGAGAUAAGUUUCAUUGUCAAAAGGGAAACAGCCCAGACCCACAGCUAAGGUCCCAAAGUACAGUUAAGUGGUGAAGGAUGUGGAAUUGCAUAGACAACCAGGAUGUUGGCUUAGAAGCAGCCACUCAUUAAAAGAGUGCGUAAUAGCUCACUGGUCGAGUGAUUCUGCGCCGAAAAUUUAACGGGGCUAAAUUGUACACCGAAGCUUGGGAUACAUCUAAUGUAUGGUAGGAGAGCGUUGUAUACGGGGUGAAGUCAGAGCGGAAGCGCUGGUGGACUGUAUACAAGUGAGAAUGCCGGAAUGAGUAGCGAGAAUUAUGUGAGAAUCAUAAUGGCCGAAAGACUAAGGUUUUAGAAGGAAGGUUCGUCCGCUUCUAGUCAGCCGGGAGCUAAGGCGAGGCCGAAAGGCGUAGUCGAUGCACAUACGGUGGAGAUUCCGUAGCCGCCAUUAAUUUAAACAGAGGGACACUUUCAAGGGGCAUGACCCGGGCGUUGGUAGACCCGGGCGUAAGGGACCGAAGAUUAGUAGGGAAGCAUGCUUUAAGGAAGGCGAGAAAAGCUCUGUGUAUAGAAGAUGGCGCCCGUACCGCAAACCGACACAGGUAGUCAGGAAGAGAAUUCUAAGGCCAACGGGAGAAGGGUAGUUAAGGAACUCGGCAAAUUGACCCCGUAACUUCGGGAUAAGGGGCGGUGCGUAAGCACCCGCAGUGAAUAGGUCCAGGCGACUGUUUAUCAAAAACACAGCUCUCUGCUAAAUCGAAAGAUGACGUAUAGGGGGUGACACCUGCCCGGUGCUGGAAGGUUAAGAGGAAGGGUGCAAGCUCUGAAUUGAAGCCCCAGUAAACGGCGGCCGUAACAAUAACGGUCCUAAGGUAGCGAAAUUCCUUGUCGGGUAAGUUCCGACCCGCACGAAUGGUGUAACGAUCUGGGCACUGUCUCAACUACCCACCCGGCGAAAUUGUAGUACCGGUGAAGAUGCCGGUUACCCGCGGCAAGACGGAAAGACCCCAUGGAGCUUUACUGUAACCUGAUAUUGGGUUUCGGUAUUUUAUGUACAGGAUAGGUGGGAGACUAUGAAACUAAGGCGCCAGCCUUAGCGGAGUCGCCCUUGGGAUACCACUCUUAAAGUACUGAAAUUCUAACCUGCGGCCGUGAAUCCGGUCGGGGGACAUUGUCAGGCGGGCAGUUUGACUGGGGCGGUCGCCUCCAAAAGAGUAACGGAGGCGCUCAAAGGUUCG